AGGGGCAUCACGGAAAAGCUUGCUUUUCUGGUGGCGACCGGCGCACGGGUGCGGAACGCGUAUGGAACCUGCCCCUGUCAGGGGAAUAGCCCAGGGAAACUUGGAUUAAUGCCCCAUGGUACCGCGAUAUCGCAUGAUAUUGCGGUUAAAGAUUUAUCGGACAGGGAUGGCCAUGCGUACCAUUAGUUAGUUGGUGGGGUAACGGCCCACCAAGGCAGCGAUGGUUAGGGGCCCUGAGAGGGGGAUCCCCCACACUGGUACUGAGACACGGACCAGACUCCUACGGGAGGCAGCAGUGAGGAAUAUUGGACAAUGGGCGGGAGCCUGAUCCAGCCAUGCCGCGUGCAGGAUGACGGCCCUAUGGGUUGUAAACUGCUUUUAUACGGGAAGAAAUGCGCCCACGUGUGGGCGUCUGACGGUACCGUAAGAAUAAGGACCGGCUAACUCCGUGCCAGCAGCCGCGGUAAUACGGAGGGUCCGAGCGUUAUCCGGAAUCAUUGGGUUUAAAGGGUCCGUAGGCGGGCCUGUAAGUCAGGGGUGAAAGUUUGUGGCUCAACCAUAAAAUUGCCUUUGAUACUGCAGGUCUUGAGUCAUGGUGGGGUCGCCGGAACAUGUGGUGUAGCGGUGAAAUGCAUAGAUAUCACAUAGAACACCGAUCGCGAAGGCAGGUGGCCAACCAUGUACUGACGCUGAUGGACGAAAGCGUGGGUAGCGAACGGGAUUAGAUACCCCGGUAGUCCACGCCGUAAACGAUGGAUACUAGCUGUGGGGACUUCGGUCUCCGUGGCCAAGCGAAAGUG
rnacentral:rRNA from 1 species